AAAGAGCUGAAAUCAAGACGCUUCUGUCCUGUCUCCCCUUGAGGAAACAAGGCAGGACUUUGUGCCUUGCACCUCUAGGGCAACCUAGGACACGGCUGAGCAGAAGUUCCACUUCAGCGAGAUCAGGGCUGGGAAGAAACUGCGUUUCACAGGCCUGUGUGAGAGAUGUUCCUGGUAGGCUGUAAGUGCACUGUGGAGAGGGAGUUGUUUCUUAGCUUCCCAAAUAGCUGGAAGCAAGACGCUUUGUGGCCUGUCUGCCCUUGAGGAAACAAGGCAAGACUUUGUGCCUUGCACCUCUAGGGCAAUGUAGGACACGGCAGAGCUGAAGUUCUACUUCAGCGAGAUCAGGGCUGGGAAGAAACUGCAUUUUACAGAUCUUUGUGAGAGAUGUUCCCAGUAGCUGUAACAGCACUAUGGUGAGCCAGUUGUUUCUUAACUUUUGAGAUCUGAAAUCAAAUCCGUUUGUUGCUUGUCUCCUUUGGAGUCAAUGACUCAUAGCUUUGUCACCUCCAAAUCUAGAUCAAUGUGGAACUUGGCAGAGCAGAAGUUCUACUUCAGCGAGAUCAGGGCUGGUAAGAAACUGCGUUUCACAGGCCUUUGUGAGAGAUGUUCCCAGUAGACUGUAAGAGUACUGUGGAGAGUGAGUUGUUUCUUAGCUUCCCAAAGAGCUGGAAGCAAGACCGUUUGUGGCUUGUCUCCUGUGGUGGCAAUGACUCAGUGCUUUGUGUCUUCCACCUCUAGAGCAAUGUGGGACAUGGCUUAGAGCAGAAGUUUCAGUGCGGUGAGAUCAUGGCUGGAAACAAACUGCAUUUCCUUCCUUUGUAUGAGACAUUCCCGGUAGGCUGUAAGAGCCCUGUGGAAAGCGAGUUCUUUCUCACCUUGCCAAAGAGCUGUAAGCAAGACGGUCUGUGGCCUGUCUCAUCUUAAGGAAGCCAGGCAGGGCUUUGUGACUUUCACCUCUAGGGCAAUGUAUUACACAGCACAGCAGAAGUUCCAGUUCAGCGAGAUCAGGGCUGGGAAGAAACUGCGUUUCACAGGCCUUUGUAAGAGAUGUUCCCUGUAGGCUGUAAGAGCACUCUGGAGAGUGAGUUGAUUCUUAGCUUCCCAAAGAGCUGGAAGCAAGACCGUUUGUUGCUUGUCUCCUUUGGAGGCAAUGACUCAUUGUUUUGUGACUUAAACCUCUAGAGCAAUGCAGAACACAGCUUGGAGCACAAGUUCCAAGGCAGCGACAUCAGGCCUAUGAAAAAGUGCAUUUCACAUCUUUGUAUUAGUGGUUCCCGGUAGGCUGAGAGAGCCCAGGAUAAAGCGAGUUCUUUCUCACCUUGCGAAAGAAGAGGAAGCAAGACGGUCUGUGGCCUGUCUCCUCUUGAGGAAGCCAGACAGGGCUUUGUGACUUCCACCUCUGGG
rnacentral:lncRNA from 1 species